UCAUAUAUCUACUCUUCUUAUUUACUUCACUUAUUUAUCUAAUUGCCAUGCACACUUUCUUAUUUACCCUUAACCCAAUCCCUUGGUGAAACGAGCCUAUUAUUAAUUAUCGACUUGCUAUCCCUGGCCUCCCCUAGUAACCAAUAAUGUAAUGCGAUCGAAAGCAACUACAAUUGAUCGUCCUACCCCUAUCCCUAGGUGAUAUUGGCAUAAUCAAGGAAUUUCCC
rnacentral:lncRNA from 1 species